rnacentral:rRNA from 1 species
GUGACAGCAGCCGCGGUAAUACGUAGGUGGCGAGCGUUGUCCGGAUUUACUGGGCGUAAAGAGCGCGCAGGCGGUCGUACAAGUCGCGUGUGAAAGCCCCCGGCUCAACUGGGGAGGGUCACGCGAUACUGUUCGACUCGAAGGCAGGAGAGGGAAGCGGAAUUCCCGGUGUAGUGGUGAAAUGCGUAGAUAUCCGGAGGAACAUCAGUGGCGAAGGCGGCACUCUGGGCUGUACCUGACGCUAAGACGCGAAAGCUAGGGGAGCAAACGGGAUUAGAAACCCCGGUAGUCC